UACAGAGGGCGCAAGCGUUGUUCGGAUUCAUUGGGCGUAAAGGGUGCGUAGGCGGCGCGGUAAGUCGGGUGUGAAAUCUCGGAGCUUAACUCCGAAACUGCAUUCGAUACUGCCGUGCUUGAGGACUGGAGAGGAGACUGGAAUUUACGGUGUAGCGGUGAAAUGCGUAGAUAUCGUAAGGAAGACCAGUGGCGAAGGCGGGUCUCUGGACAGUUCCUGACGCUGAGGCACGAAGGUCAGGGGAGCAAACGGG
rnacentral:rRNA from 1 species